rnacentral:rRNA from 1 species
CUCAAGGAAGAUAAUGACGGUACUUGAGGAGGAAGCCCCGGCUAACUACGUGCCAGCAGCCGCGGUAAUACGUAGGGGGCUAGCGUUAUCCGGAUUUACUGGGCGUAAAGGGUGCGUAGGCGGUCUUUCAAGUCAGGAGGGAAAGGCUACGGCUCAACCGUAGUAAGCUCUUGAAACUGGGAGACUUGAGUGCAGGAGAGGAGAGUGGAAUUCCUAGUGUAGCGGUGAAAUGCGUAGAUAUUAGGAGGAACACCAGUUGCGAAGGCGGCUCUCUGGACUGU